GACGAACGCUGGCGGCGUGCUUAACACAUGCAAGUCGAACGGUGAAGCGAGUGCUUGCACUCGUGGAUCAGUGGCGAACGGGUGAGUAACACGUGAGUAACCUGCCCAUCACUCUGGGAUAAGCACUGGAAACGGUGUCUAAUACUGGAUACGACCAACCCUUGCAUGGGGUGUUGGUGGAAAGAUUUAUCGGUGAUGGAUGGACUCGCGGCCUAUCAGCUUGUUGGCGGGGUAAUGGCCCACCAAGGCGACGACGGGUAGCCGGCCUGAGAGGGUGACCGGCCACACUGGGACUGAGACACGGCCCAGACUCCUGCGGGAGGCAACAGUGGGGAAUAUUGCACAAUGGGCGAAAGCCUGAUGCAGCGACGCCGCGUGAGGGAUGACGGCCUUCGGGUUGUAAACCUCUUUCAGCAGGGAAGAAGCGAAAGUGACGGUACCUGCAGAAGAAGCACCGGCUAACUACGU
rnacentral:rRNA from 1 species